UUUCCGUAGGUGAACCUGCGGAAGGAUCAUUAUUGUAUAACCGAGGUGCGAGGGCUGUCGCUGACCCGAAAGGUCGUGCACGCCCGAGUGCCCUCACACAAAUCCAUCUCACCCCUAUGUGCACCACCGCGUGGGUCCCCCUUUGGCUCGUUCGGAGGGGGGCUUACGUUUUCACACAAACUUUGUAUGCAGUGUAGAAUGUAUUUUUUGUUUUUGCGAUCACGCAAUCAAUACAACUUUCAACAACGGAUCUCUUGGCUCUC
rnacentral:misc_RNA from 1 species